rnacentral:rRNA from 1 species
GAAAGGGAAUGGGGUCAAUAUUCCCCAACCCGGACACGGAGAUCGGUCCCUCGGGACCCAGUGCGGCGACGCAACCGAACUCGGAGACACCGACGGAGGACCCGGGGAAGAGUUGUCUUUUCUUUGUAAGAGUUCGUUUCCCUGGAAUCGGCUCGUCCGGAGAUAGGGAUGCUGUUCUCGUAAAAGCACCGCGGCUCUUGCGGUGUCCGGUGCGCCUCUGCCGGUCCUUGCAAAUCCGAGGGAGAGAGUGUGAUUUUCGUGCCGGUCCGUACCCAUAUCCGCAGCAGGUCUCCAAGGU